GACGAACGCUGGCGGCGUGCUUAACACAUGCAAGUCGAACGGAAAGGCCCUGCUUUUGUGGGGUGCUCGAGUGGCGAACGGGUGAGUAACACGUGAGUAACCUGCCCUUGACUUUGGGAUAACUUCAGGAAACUGGGGCUAAUACCGGAUAGGAGCUCCUGCUGCAUGGUGGGGGUUGGAAAGUUUCGGCGGUUGGGGAUGGACUCGCGGCUUAUCAGCUUGUUGGUGGGGUAGUGGCUUACCAAGGCUUUGACGGGUAGCCGGCCUGAGAGGGUGACCGGCCACAUUGGGACUGAGAUACGGCCCAGACUCCUACGGGAGGCAGCAGUGGGGAAUAUUGCACAAUGGGCGGAAGCCUGAUGCAGCAACGCCGCGUGCGGGAUGACGGCCUUCGGGUUGUAAACCGCUUUCGCCUGUGACGAAGCGUGAGUGACGGUAAUGGGUAAAGAAGCACCGGCUAACUACAUG
rnacentral:rRNA from 1 species